rnacentral:rRNA from 1 species
AUUGAACGCUGGCGGCAUGCCUUACACAUGCAAGUCGAACGGCAGCGGGGGAGAAGCUUGCUUUUCCUGCCGGCGAGUGGCGAACGGGUGAGUAAUACAUCGGAACGUGCCCUGUAGUGGGGGAUAACUAGUCGAAAGAUUAGCUAAUACCGCAUACGACCUGAGGGUGAAAGUGGGGGACCGCAAGGCCUCAUGCUAUAGGAGCGGCCGAUGUCUGAUUAGCUAGUUGGUGGGGUAAAGGCCUACCAAGGCGACGAUCAGUAGCUGGUCUGGGAGGACGAUCAGCCAGACUGAGACUGAGACACGGCCCAGACUCCUACGGGAGGCAGCAGUGGGGAAUUUUGGACAAUGGGCGAAAGCCUGAUCCAGCAAUGCCGCGUGUGUGAAGAAGGCCUUCGGGUUGUAAAGCACUUUUGUCCGGAAAGAAAUGGCUCUGGUUAAUACCUGGGGUCGAUGACGGUACCGGAAGAAUAAGGACCGGCUAACUACGUGCCAGCCGCCGCCGUAA